UACGGGGGGGGCAAGCGUUGUUCGGAAUUACUGGGCGUAAAGGGCUCGUAGGUGGCCAACUAAGUCAGACGUGAAAUCCCUCGGCUUAACCGGGGAACUGCGUCUGAUACUGGAUGGCUUGAGUUUGGGAGAGGGAUGCGGAAUUCCAGGUGUAGCGGUGAAAUGCGUAGAUAUCUGGAGGAACACCGGUGGCGAAGGCAGGUCUCUGGGCCGAUACUGACGCUGAGGAGCGAAAGCGUGGGGAGCGAACAGG
rnacentral:rRNA from 1 species